GGACAGUGAAGCUGAUUCAAGAAACAGGCAAUGCCACAAAGGAUGCAAGCUACCCAAGCCCGGCUGUGGAUGAGGCAGUUCUUAGGAGUUGAGGCAGCCCUGCAGGAGGUCCUCUGCUAUUAAGAACUCAUGUCCUACAGCUGGGGACCAAGUACUUUUUUGAACUGGGAAUUGAGUGGAGCACUUCUGUGGCUACCGAGUCUGCUUUUUGUGCUUGUCAUAGCUACCUCUCCAUAUCGGAAGAAAAGUUCCUCCAAGAUUCUGGUGCCCCUUUCAUCCUGUCAAAGACAGGAAGAGGGACAUUGAGAAGGAAAACUGUGAUCUUCACCUCCUGUAGUUUGUUUAAUGCUCUUAGUAAAUAUUUAUCAUUAAACUCUCCUAAUUAUUUAUUCUACUUAUCUGUGGCCUCCACUGGCUAUUGUGGCUCAUCUGGUGGCCUAGUCGUCACCCUCAUACCUGAGGAGCUGAGCAUUAAGUUACCAUGUACAUCUAUGGCUAUGUUGGCUUAAUCUGUUCAUUUAAAUUCACAGUUAGACAAGGGAGUCCCAGAAAAAUUCAAGUGAAAUCCCUGGGAUUCACACAUAAUCCUUUGUGUUUCCAUUGUGCAACAGUAGCAUCCUAGUGAUCAGAAUCAGUUUCCUCUGCCAACGUGAUGACUCCUCUCCUUGACUCCUGGUCCUUAGAUUUAAGGAUCCCGAAGUUCCCAAACAGCAGCCACAACUACAAGUGAAUGGAAUUCUUGCAAUGCACCCUGGCAAAGUCAAUUUUGGGGCCGGAAGCCCUAAUUCUGCUCAGUCCAGGGUUGCAAGACGGAAAGCAAAUUGCUCCCUGAUGAGGCAUUAAGCAUGACAGGAAAUGGUGCUACUCCUACUUCCAUCCCUUAGCAUGUAGGCUUUAUUCAUACCUUGGACAGAGCAUAAUACAAAUUCAUUUGAUUCUAUUAUAUCUGGCUUCCUGGAGGACAGCCCUCAUCCUUGAAGAAUAGUGCCUGUAUGCUAGGACUUUAACUGUGCCUCCAGCAGGCAAUCCCAACCCUAUUACACUAGCUGCUGCUGGAUGGUGUGUGUUCUCAAUAUACAGGAAGAAAACAAGCCUGUAAGAUGAAAUACUUCUACCUGGUUAAUAAAUACAGAAAUCGAUUCUUCCUCCAUUGAAGUCUAUCUUUUCCAAUGGGACCAAUCCACAUGCAGAUGCAAAGGCACUCAUGUUUGCUCAACAUGUAGAAACAAGAAAAUCACACAGAGCAAGAGUGACAGAAAUGUAAGAUGCUAUGGAAUUAUAAAAGGUAAGCGUGUUUUCUUUUGCUGUCUUGGGUAAUAACAGAAUGCAUUGGAUAGGAAAUAGCAUUAUUUGAACUACACUUUGUAUGAUAAAAGAGAAAUAAUAGGAAUGACAUACCUUAAACAGAGGAAAUAAGUGUAUUGAAUCAAAGGCAUGGACUUGCAUGGCAUGAUCAGUGAGAGAUGAGAAGUUCAUCACGAUUAGGGUAGAGGAGAGAAUUGGCAAGAGAUAAAGGUGAAAAGAUAAAUUAGGCCAAAUAUUACGGGGUCUUCAAUACCAAAUUAAGGAGUUUCUAUACCAUUCUUCAGGAAACAGAGAUUAUACCAGAGAUUUGUGGGCACAGGAGCAGCAUGGUUAGAAUUCUGUUUGGGAAGAAUAAUGUUGACAAAAGUGAGAAGAAUGAGUAUAGGUUGGGAAAGAGCAUUAAAGAUGCUUAUGGCAACAUUGUAGGUGAGAAAUUAGGAGAGAUUAAAAGGUGGCAGGAGGAAAGAGAAAAAGUUACUUACUGGAGAUUGAAAACAUCUAAUAAUGUUUUAAAACAAGCUCAUUAAUAGUAAUUAUUAUAUUUAAUUAAUUAUAUUCUAAGAAGAAUCUUAUUUGAGAAAGAAAUGUAAAAGGUAUUUCGCUCAACAAUCUACACCUCUAAAAUAGCAAGUCAACCACAUAUUUUUAUUAAUCAUCCACCAGUACCUCUCUAUUGUCAGGAAAAUUAUGUAAUAACCUCUUCUUUCUCAUUUAUCUUUCA
rnacentral:lncRNA from 1 species